UACGUAGGGCGCAAGCGUUUGUCCGGAAUUAUUGGGCGUAAAGAGCUCGUAGGCGGUCUGUCGCGUCGGCUGUGAAAUCCCGAGGCUCAACCUCGGGUCUGCAGUCGAUACGGGCAAACUAGAGUAUUGCAGGGGAGACUGGAAUUCCUGGUGUAGCGGUGAAAUGCGCAGAUAUCGGGAGGAACACCGGUGGCGAAGGCGGCGACCUGGGUAGAUACUGACGCUGAGGCGCGAAAGCGUGGGGAGCAAACAGG
rnacentral:rRNA from 1 species